UACAGAGGUCUCAAGCGUUGUUCGGAUUCAUUGGGCGUAAAGGGUGUGUAGGUGGCGCGCUAAGUCGGGUGUGAAAUUUCGGAGCUUAACUCCGAAACUGCAUUCGAUACUGGCGUGCUUGAGGACUGGAGAGGAGACUGGAAUUCAUGGUGUAGCAGUGAAAUGCGUAGAGAUCAUGAGGAAGACCAGUGGCGAAGGCGGGUCUCUGGACAGUUCCUGACGCUGAGACGCGAAGGCCAGGGGAGCAAACGGG
rnacentral:rRNA from 1 species